CAAAUCAUCAUGCCCCUUAUGUCCAGGGCUACACACGUGCUACAAUGGUAGGUACAAUAAGAUGCAAGACCGUGAGGUGGAGCAAAACUUAUAAAACCUAUCUCAGUUCGGAUUGUAGGCUGCAACUCGCCUACAUGAAGCUGGAGUUGCUAGUAAUCGCGAAUCAGAAUGUCGCGGUGAAUACGUUCCCGGGCCUUGUACACACCGCCCGUCACACCAUGAGAGCUGGUAACACCCGAAGUCCGUGAGGUAACCGUAAGGAGCCAGCGGCCGAAGGUGGGAUUAGUGAUUGGGGUGAAGUCGUAACAAGGUAGCCGUAGGAGAACCUGCGGCUGGAUCACCUCCUUUCUAAGGAGA
rnacentral:rRNA from 1 species